AGCGGCGGACGGGUGAGUAACGCGUGGGUAACCGUGCCUCAUACAGGGGAGUAACAGUUGGAAACGGCUGCUAAUACCGCAUAAGCGCACAGUACCGCAUGGUACCGUGUGAAAAACUCCGGUGGUAUGAGAUGGACCCGCGUCUGAUUAGCUAGUUGGUGGGGUAACGGCCUACCAAGGCGACGAUCAGUAGCCGACCUGAGAGGGUGACCGGCCACAUUGGGACUGAGACACGGCCCAA
rnacentral:rRNA from 1 species